rnacentral:miRNA from 1 species
UUUGUGAAGUUGGAGCU